CAACUCAUCCACUCCCAAAUAAAAUUUGUGCAUUCCCAAAUAAAAUUCAUGCAUUCCCAAAUACAACUCCUGCAUUCCCAAAUACAAACUCAUGCAUUCCCAAAUACAAACUCAUGCAUUCCCAAAUAUUUCCAAAUAAAAUUUGUGCAUUCCCAAAUAAAAACUCACACAUUCCCAAAUACAACUCAUGCAUUCCUAAAUAAAACCUAUGCAUUCCCAAAUAAAAUUCAUGCAUUCCUAAAUACAACACAGGCAUUCCCAAAUACAAACUCACACACUCCCAAAUACAAUGCAUGCAUUCCUAAAUAAAGCUCACACAUUCCCAAAUAUUUCCAAAUAAAAUUCAUGCAUUCCCAAAUAAAAACUCCUGCAUUCCCAAAUACAACUCCUGCAUUCCCAAAUAUUCCCAAAUACAACUCCUGCAUUCCCAAAUAAAACCUAUGCAUUCCCAAAUAAAAUCCAUGCAUUCCUAAAUACAACACAGGCAUUCCCAUUAAAAACUCACACAUCCCUAAAUAUGAUUCAUGCAUUCCCAAAUAUUCCCAAAUAAAAUCCAUGCAUUCCUUAAUACAACACAUGCAUUCCCAUUAAAAACUCACACAUUCCUAAAUGUGAUUCAUGCAUUCCCAAAUACAACUCAUAUUUCCAAAUACAAUGCAUGCAUUCCCAAAUAAAAACUCACACAGUCCCAAAUACAACUCUUGCAUUCUUAAAUAAAAUUCAUGCAUUCCCAAAUAUUCCCUAACAAAACCUAUGCAUUCCCAAAUCAAAUUCAUGCAUUCCUAAAUACAACACAUGCAUUCCCAAUAAAAACUCACACAUCCCUAAAUAUGAUUCAUGCAUUCCUAAAUACAACUCCUGCAUUCCCAAAUAUUCCCAAAUACAACUCCUGCACUCCCAAAUAUUCCCCAGUAAAACAUAUGCAUUCCCAAAUCAAAUUCAUGCAUUCCCAAAUACAACUGCUGCCUUCCCAAAUAUUCUCAAAUAAAAUUCAUGCAUUCCCAAAUACAACUCCUGCCUUCCCAAAUAUUCUCAAAUCAAAUUCAUGCAUUCCCAAAUACAACUNAUUUUCCACUGAUUGUUGCAACUUCAUAGCCAUGGCAACUAAAUUAAUAAAUUAUCCAAUUCAUAUUAAGCCCCUAAAUAUCCAGCUGUUUCUUUGAUUAAAAAAUAAAAAUCAAUUUUUAAAAAAUCCA
rnacentral:lncRNA from 1 species